AGGGGGCGGGGCCGAGGGGGCGCGGCUCCCGGCGGCCCCCGGGGCUGCGGGGUCUUGCCUGCAGGCUUCUCGCAGCCCGCGGCUGAAAUCACCUCGUCUGCUCCCCACGCCCUUGCCUGGUUCUGCAUCCUCACUCUGCCCAGGGGUCCCCGAUCUGAGCGCGCGGGAACCCGAAGAAAAGACUGAACCACGUUAAAGCGGGGAGUGGCAGAGGCCUUUGGGCCUUCCGGAGCCCCUCUAAAAACAAGAACAAUAUGAAAAUGGCUUGAAUCCCGACUCCUUCACUGACUCGCUGUAAGAUACUGUGGCUGCUGAGCCUCAAUUUUCUCCGUUGUACAAUGCAGACCUAGUCUGCAGAGCUGUUGCAUGCAGGUGGAGUUCCAUAGAUGCAGACUUGUGCCCAAGCGGAAGAGAAUGGAGGCCUCUACGGAGCUUCUUCGGGGUCUCUAGAACGUGCAGCUUGGCUCUUGGCCAACCCGCACUCCCUUGGAAACCCGGUGGAGAGGAUGUGGCAAAACUAGGCUCCAAGCUGGCCCAGGGAUUAGGCCACUGUGUUCAGGGAUGGGCUUUCUGCUGCCUGCCAGGUCCCAGGCUCCCUCUUCCCUGGAUGGAGCUGGGGAACCCUGCCAAAUUCUCACUCCAACCUUCCAACAUUCGUUUAUUCAGUGAAUAUUUAUCGAUGCCCGCUGGGGACUUUGGUGGCACUGGAAACAGAGUCGUGCUCAGGCUUGAAAUAGGGAGACCAAGGACUUUUUGUGCAAUCUCAACCGAAUGUGAUAACUGCACUGGCGACUCCCUGCAGCUGCCUUGGCCCCUCUCCAGGCUGCUCUGGGGCCUCGGAAACCCUGACCUGUUCCUGGUUCUCUAGAGGUCGUAGGAAAAACACCCACCCCUCACCCUGGUCUACAGGGUAGUCUUUUGUUGUUGUUGUUUUUAAGAUUUUAUUUAUUUAUUUGAGAGAGAGAGAGCAUGAGAGGGGAGAGGUCAGAGGGAGAAGCAGACUCCCCACCAAGCAGGGAGCCUGAUGUGAGACUUGAUCCCAGGACUCCAGGAUCAUGACCUAAGCAGAAGGCAGUUGCUUAACCAACUGAGCCACCCAGGCACCCUGUCUACAGGGUAGUCUUAUCAGGCCUGUGCCAACCUGUCCAGCCACAUCCCCCUGUACUCCCAUUAUCCCUAUCCAGCAACACUGGUCUUCCUUCUGUUCCUCAAAUAUUCUUACUUUACUUCCAACCACAGGGCCUUUACACUGGCUGUUUUUUGGUCUGGAAUGUCCUUCCAUCACAUCUCCCAAGACUAGCCUUUUCUGAUCAUUUAGGUCUCUAUUUAAAUGCCACCUCCUCCAAGAGACCUUUCCAUACCCUGUCAUAUUUAUUAUAAAUAUGGCCCUGUUUUCUUUAUUUUAACUGUCACUCCUCUCUGAAAUUGCUCAACAUUUGGCCUAUGCUCACUCAGUCUUUGCAGAAUGUGUGAGUGGACACAGUGUGAGGUGUCAGAAGAACAGUAUCCCAAGACAGCCCAUGCCUUAAGGAGGCAACUGCCCCACUGUGGGAGAGGCAGAAGGGCUGGCACUAAGGACAAAUUGGGAAACUACAAGGGUGGUAAAGAUGAAUAGGGUGUCUGACUGAAGGAAAAGCAGGGCAAUGUCCUAGAAGAAGGUGAGGGAGAACCUGAGAUGUCCUGAUUCUUCCCCUCAUCUCUAUUCCGCGCCCCUCAUCCAUACCACUCUGGUCGGGUGGUUACCGCCCCUCAAAAACACUUAUUCCUAUUAUUCCUCAUCCCUUAUUCCAGGGCCUUUGUACUUGCUGUUCCCCUCUGCCUGCCGUGUUUUCCUUCUCCUCUUGGCAUCCUUUCUUCUUCAUUUCAUUUCCAUCUUGGCUCAAAUGCCUCCUUAGAGAAGUACUCCCUGACUGCAUCUCCACCUAAAACAGGCCCCACCCCAUCUCUACUAAACUCUACCCCUCACAUCGCUCCAUUUUUUUCUUCCUUGCAAAUUUUAAUAGAUUUUACUCUAUUUUCUUACUUGUCUGUCUCAAUCAGGAUGUCAGCUCUCCAAGAACAGGGAUCAUUGUCUGUCUUGUUCACUGCUGAGUCCCCAGCUUCUAGAACAGUGUCUAGCGACGGAAAGUGCUGGAAUAAAUAGCUAUGGGAUGUACAGGUGGUUGAACAAGCAGAGCAUCAUGGGGUAUGGCUGGAGGGUUUAGUGCUGAUGAACCUGGAGCAGGAACAGUCUCCAGAUACCACAGAUGAUGGGGAUGGAGGGCCUCCAGCACCUCCCUGAAGUUCGAACUUGACCCUGAGGAUCGUGGUGCUGCUGACGGAUUCUUAGCAGAGGAGGAACUGAAUGAGGAUUCUUUCUCAAAAGGCUCUUUGCAAACCAAGUCUCCCACCAGCCAACUGGGGGUCAGAAAAAGAGACGGGAGUAGAUUCAUCUGAUACCAGAAAGGCUAAAUGUAUCAACAAAGCUAAACUCAAAAACUUUGGGUUGGGGGGG